rnacentral:rRNA from 1 species
GAUGAACGCUAGCGAUAGGCCUAACACAUGCAAGUCGAGGGGCAUCACAUGAAGUAGCAAUACGGAUGGUGGCGACCGGCGCACGGGUGAGCAACACGUAUGCAACCUGCCUUCAACAAGGGGAUAACCCGUUGAAAGACGGACUAAUACCCUAUAACACAGGGGUCCCGCAUGGGAAUAUUUGUUAAAGGACAACCGGUUGAAGAUGGGCAUGCGUUCCAUUAGCUAGUUGGCGGGGUAACGGCCCACCAAGGCAACGAUGGAUAGGGGAACUGAGAGGUUUAUCCCCCACACUGGUACUGAGACACGGACCAGACUCCUACGGGAGGCAGCAGUGAGGAAUAUUGGUCAAUGGACGCAAGUCUGAACCAGCCACGUCGCGUGAAGGAAGACGGCCCUACGGGUUGUAAACUUCUUUUAUACGGGGAAUAAAGUGCCCCCACGCGUGGGGUUUUGCAUGUACCGUAUGAAUAAGGAUCGGCUAACUCCGUGCCAGCAGCCGCGGUAA